GGCUGAACCUGGAAAUCAAACUCUGCUGCUGCCGGCUCGUUCCAGAGAGAGAUGUUAUCUUCAAGAACCUGAUUAAUGUUCGGAAGGAAAAGAAAGCCAACCCGUGUCAUUCAGCAUCUUGGUCUUUCACGCUGGGACGAUAGGGGAAAGCGGGUCAUUUUUAUCAGCGUUGGGUGCGGAGAGGUGAUCAGGCCCUGCUGGAAUAAUAGAGCUGCUGCUUUACAAAAUGUUUGUGAAAACGACAUGAAAUGGAGGCAUCAGCAGCUUGAGUUGCAGCCUAAUGGAAACCCAGCAGAGACCACGACAAAGGCAGAGGGAGAAGAACAGAGUAAGACUGAAACUGUGAUUGAUGGAGAACUAGCAGUCACUCAUAUGAGCUAGGAAAUGGGGCUAUUGGGUGAUUUUUGUGGCUGGGACAAUGUUCAUGUCUUUAUCUGCCUUCAGGAGUAGUGUUAUUUUGUCUUGAUCUAUCACGGUCUCAGGAUGGCCUUGUCUGAUGCCGGCAAUCUGCAAAAUUGUUUACAUUCAACAGGAGAACACUUUGGCCAAGCUGUGAGUGUCAAGCCAGCUCCCGGCUGCCAGGGGCAGCUUUUCUCUUUCUCACAGUGUAGGAAGUAAUUUAUAUACUUCUUUUCUGCCCAUAAGUAAUUACUAAAUCUGCAACUAUAGGGACCAGUCCUACCCAUUUUAGUCUUCCCUGCGGGGCCCACCAUGAUGCUUUGCAUACUGAACGUGCUCUGGGAAUGUGCCCAGUGAACUAAAUUAUGGGCACAGAGAACUCUCUGGGACUUGGCAUUAUUAAGAUCAUGCUGAAGUAUAUUUUCAAAAUUUAAAAUGUGACUCAUACAAAUGUGGAAUGAACACUUGUCAAAAAAUUUAUUUAACCCAUUAAUGAGGGAACCAGUAAAAUGGUAAAGCUCGCUCCAAGGGCAUUUAAAAAGUGGACUCAUCAGCAUCUUUAAUGAAAACCUUAGCAUAAGAUUGCUAAAUUCGAGAGAAAUCUGGUUAACAUGCUAUAAGGGCAAUAAAACCAUAACCUUUAAUGUCGUCUUUUUUCUACUGGACAGAAAUCUACAAGUUAACGUGUAAUUUCACUAUGUCAGUGCUCUAAUCAAAUAAUAAAUAACAAAGUCAGAUACAUGUACUCUCUCCAAGAUAAUUAAUCAUCCGUGGGCAGGUCAUUAAGCAGUGCCUCAGUAUGACAUGGAAAAGACAUUCUUCCUUAUUUCCAAUUUUUAGUUAAUUUUCAUUUAAGAAUCAUAACAAAAGACUCUUUUGUGGCUUCUUAGGAACAUAUUCAACUGAAAUUUUUGUUUUAAUUGUGUUUUAGAGACAGGGUCUUGCUCUGUGGUCCAGGCUGGCAUGCAGUGGUAUAAUCAUAGCUCACUGCAGCCUUGACCUCUCAGGUUUAAGCAAUCUUCCCACCUCAGCCUCCUGAGUAGCUGGGAUUAUGGGUACACACUACCAUGCCCAGCUCAUUUCAAAAUUUUUUGUAGAGAGGAGUUCUUGUGAUGUUGCCCAGGCUGGUCUCAAACCCCUAGGCUCAAGGAGUCCUCCUGCUUCGACCUCCCAAAGUGCUGGGAUUAUAGGAUUGAGCCACUGUGCCCAGCCUGAAAUUUUUCUAAUGCCCACCUCACACCUGGCAAUUCCCCAGGUAUCAGCAGCAGCAGUAGCAUCCUGCUGAUACGGACAGGCGGCAGAAGGACAGGGUCCCAGGUGAGGGCUCCACCCUCAAGCCUGGACCUGCAGCCCUAAAUGAGAACAGGCAUUCCUGUUUUCACACCCAAAUGUUGCCUUUUCCAAAACCGCUCUGGACCACCCUGCCCCCAUCCUAUGCCCUUAAGAACCCCAAACCCCAGGCUCCACAAUCAGAAUAGCACCAGAGUGGCGUGGCAGAGAAGGAGAGAAGAGAAGAAGUGUCUGAACAUC
rnacentral:lncRNA from 1 species